rnacentral:rRNA from 1 species
UUUAAAUUGAGAGUUUGAUCCUGGCUCAGGAUGAACGCUGGCGGCGUGCUUAACACAUGCAAGUCGAGCGAUGAAGUUUCCUUCGGGAAACGGAUUAGCGGCGGACGGGUGAGUAACACGUGGGUAACCUGCCUCAUAGAGUGGAAUAGCCUUCCGAAAGGAAGAUUAAUACCGCAUAACGUUGAAAGAUGGCAUCAUCAUUCAACCAAAGGAG